rnacentral:rRNA from 1 species
UACACUCCUGCGGGAGGCAGCAGUGGGGAAUAUUGGACAAUGGGCGCAAGCCUGAUCCAGCCAUGCCGCGUGAGUGAUGAAGGCCCUAGGGUUGUAAAGCUCUUUCACCGGUGAAGAUAAUGACGGUAACCGGAGAAGAAGCCCCGGCUAACUUCGUGCCAGCAGCCGCGGUAAUACGAAGGGGGCUAGCGUUGUUCGGAUUUACUGGGCGUAAAGCGCACGUAGGCGGACUAUUAAGUCAGGGGUGAAAUCCCGGGGCUCAACCCCGGAACUGCCUUUGAUACUGGUAGUCUUGAGUUCGAGAGAGGUGAGUGGAAUUCCGAGUGUAGAGGUGAAAUUCGUAGAUAUUCGGAGGAACACCAGUGGCGAAGGCGGCUCACUGGCUCGAUACUGACGCUGAGGUGCGAAAGCGUGGGGAGCAAACAGGAUUAGAUACCCGGGUAGUCCC